GAUGAACGCUAGCGGCAGGCUUAACACAUGCAAGUCAGGGGCAGCAGGAAGUAGCAAUACUUUGCUGGCGACCGGCGCACGGGUGCGUAACGCGUAUGCAACCUGGCUCGAACAGGGGAACAGCCUUCCGAAAGGAAGAUUAAUACCCCGUACGAAACUCCCCCGCAUGAUACAGUUAGGAAAGGAGCAAUCCGCUGAUAGAUGGGCUUGCGUCUGAUUAGCUAGUUGGUAGGGUAAUGGCCUACCAAGGCGACGAUCAGUAGCCGGCUUGAGAGAGUGAACGGCCACAUUGGGACUGAGACACGGCCCAGACUCCUACGGGAGGCAGCAGUGGGGGAUAUUGGACAAUGGGGGCAACCCUGAUCCAGCGACGCCGCGUGAGGGAAGAAGGUUUUCGGAUUGUAAACCUCUGUCGACAGGGAAAAUGAUGAUGGUACCUGUGGAGGAAGCCACGGCUAACUACGUG
rnacentral:rRNA from 1 species